GAUGAACGCUGGCGGCGUGCCUAAUACAUGCAAGUCGAGCGAACAGACGAGGAGCUUGCUCCUCUGACGUUAGCGGCGGACGGGUGAGUAACACGUGGAUAACCUACCUAUAAGACUGGGAUAACUUCGGGAAACCGGAGCUAAUACCGGAUCAUAUAUUGAACCGCAUGGUUCAAUAGUGAAAGACGGUUUUGCUGUCACUUAUAGAUGGAUCCGCGCCGCAUUAGCUAGUUGGUAAGGUAACGGCUUACCAAGGCAACGAUGCGUAGCCGACCUGAGAGGGUGAUCGGCCACACUGGACCUGAGACACGGUCCAGACUCCUACGGGAGGCAGCAGUAGGGAAUCUUCCGCAAUGGGCGAAAGCCUGACGGAGCAACGCCGCGUGAGUGAUGAAGGUCUUCGGAUCGUAAAACUCUGUUAUUAGGGAAGAACAAAUGUGUAAGUAACUAUGCACGUCUUGACGGUACCUAAUCAGAAAGCCACGGCUAACUACGUG
rnacentral:rRNA from 1 species